CAUGUAUGCUUGCUGAAAAAAUACUUAAUCUAAUAAUUGAUAUUUAAUUUUUAAGAAAACAAAAUAAGGUGGAGUGGCUAGUUGAUGUUCCAGUAAAAGCCACUGCUUUACAGUAAAUGCCACACUUUACAAUAUGUAGGCAAUUAAAGUACAGGAAUCAGCCAUUUCUGUGCACCGAUGUCCACAGGUGUCCACCAGGACUCUCUGCCAGCCGUUUAUAAUUUAAAGGUCACAGCAUGUUUCCAUUUCUGUUUAAAUCAAAUUAACCCUGCAGCUAUUUAUAGCAGAACAAGCUGCUAGAUCCGUAGAGAACAAAACAGAAGAGCACAAAAUCUCUUCAAUAUGUCAAUUAUGUACAAAAGUGAAGUGAAUUCGAGAUUUUGCUGCAAUUUAAAAAGCUAAAACGUCAAAAUCUUAGAACUCGCACAAACUUUUCUUGCUAGAUUCUUCAGAUGCCAUAUCAUGAUAAUAGCACUCUACUAUUACUCUAUGCAAACAUCUUUCAGAUUCAUUUCUGUUUGUAGGAAUUUUAACAGAAGCAUCUGAGAUGGAGUUUAUACUAAAAUGAGAUGUAACUGGAAGUCUGUUUUGUCUCCAGAGCACUGAAAAAUAGUCCACUGGGAGGUUUUAAGAAGGGAAAAUGAGAAGUAUGAUUGUAGAUGGCGCGCAGAUUAAGAGAGACAAAGGAAGAAUGAAAGAUGCUAAUGUUGAUCUAAAUCCUCAAGACUUCUACCGAUGCCAGAACAACGCUGUAUCACUUCAAAGACUCGUGUAGAAGUGCUUUCUCCAACAAUUAUUCCUCUCGCUCAGCGUCUAUCUUUCCGUGUCAUCGUUGUUAUUCAAGCGCAGUCUAGGAAUGCGAUGGUUUUUGUGGAUGAGCGAUUUUACUACUGAUCAAAGUCUGCCAGAAACAUCUGGGCCAGUGUAGCAAAGCUGCCUCCAUGGCAAAUGGCUUUUAAGGAUGUGAAACAAUAUUUGGACUCUUUAUAUCGUACUGUUUUAUUCGACUUUAAAGUGCUUUCACAUAGUUUAAACAUUUAAAGGGAUAGGUCACCCAAUAGUUCUCUCUGAAGAAGGGAUGAUGGUUAUUCAUGGCAUCUCGAGCUAGUUUAGCUCUCGAAUAUGAAUUCAAUCUUCAUCCAUAGUAACAAUGAUUGUAAAAUGUGUAUGAAUGAGUGAAAACGCUGAAGUCCGAUGAUGAUUUUUAUAAAUUAAAUACAAAAAAACAUUUAUAUUUAUUUUGCAUGUAGCUUUAGUAUCUUUUCAGUGCAAUUUGUAAAUGAAAUCAUCAUAAUUUUGACCCUUUUUAAUCUCAUAAUUUGUCAAUUUAAAUUUAGUAUGUCAUAAUUUUAGUUUUUUAAUCAUAAUUCUAAUAUUUAUUUAUGUCAAAAUUAUGACAUAUCUUAUAAUUUUGACUGAAGCAUGUCAGUUUUGACUGUAUCUCAUAAUUUAGACUUAUAGGUAUGGAAACGUCUAUAGGAGAAGAGAAACAUCCAUGAAAGAAGGCGUGCCAGGGAGAAGGUGAGCUGAACCAUGUGACAUUGACUCCAGCCACUGAAUGACUGGAAUCGAGGAGGCUUUAUGGGGGAUUGUGAUUAUAGGUGCAGGUCCUCUGGAGUGAGUGGAGCGUUUAAGAGAGAUGAUUGACAAGACCUGCUGGCACUUCAAACUGUUGUUCUUAAGUCUCGCAGUGAAGAGUCCUGCCGGGGCGUCCCGUCCACUGUGUCCCGCUGCCAGAAGCACCAGAGACCACCCUGACAUGAGCAAAUGUUUUAUGUAAUUUCCACAAAAAUAAGAAGCGACUUGAAGACUAUCUCCAAAAAUAAUCUCAUUCCACAGCCUGAUCCUGGUAUUUGUGGACUUUGCCAUCCCGAAUGAAGACAGGAGGAGCCGGCGGUUUUGACGAGCACCAGGGCGCCAUGCAAAAAAAAAAAAAAAAAAGGUUGUUAGACAAACUCUGACAACAAGAGGCUGCCCUUGAAAAUCAAUUAUAAACACAGGAGCUUCUCUGCAUCUGUUUCUGCUCGGCUGUUUUGUGGAGCUGUCGGGCUUGGAUUUCGGGUUUAUCCUUCUUUCUCUUCCAUUCGGUUCAAACGGGCAUCGCAGAAGGAUUACAGCGAGUUUUUUCAGGCCAUGGAGACCCAGUUUGUAAAUCAUCGAUGGGUGAUGACAGCUCAUGGCACCCGCUGCUUAUUGGGAUGAGCAGUUUAUGGGCGCAGUCGGGUGUUUUUUUCACUGCCCGGCCUGCUGUUCCCAACAAGUAAACAAUCAUAAAGAAUGACUUUGACUGCUUAAAGAGGGCUGCAGACAAGUUUGCGUGGACGAGUUAUGGGUUCUCUCUGUUUUUAAGGUCGUCUGAUGGCCCUUCAGGAUUCGGGUUACACAACCCGUGGCCCGUGGAGACUCUCAAUUGUUUCAGCAUGUCAUCCUUUCACUGCAGCAACAAAUGCAAAGUCCUGUGGUGCUAGUUUGGUUGCAAGAUACAUGAGUAAUGCAGAGAUUUAAUCCUGAAACUGUUGAAGUUUAAUUGAAGAUGAAAAAAAAAACUUUAUUUAUUUAUUUAUUUCUCAUCCUUCUAUGUUAUUGUUUAGUUAUUUCACUUUUAAUGCAAUGGAAAGAAUUUAUUCUUUGGCAUAAAAGAGAAAUUACAGAAACAGAACCCACACAUACAGAUCCUGAGAAAAAGGUUCAUUUUAGAUGAAAAUUUCAAAUGGCCUUCAGUUGUUUUAGGAAUUAUGACAAAAAGGACAAAAAACAAAACAAAAAACGUUCAUUUAAAAUGGUGCUUUGAGGUUUUGGAACCUGCUGUGAUGACUUUAGUGUACUACUUUCAGUGUACAGAGUAUUUAGUUUAUGAAGGGUUCUUUUUUUGUUUUUUACUAAAAUAAACUAAAAUAAUUUAUGAAGCACUAACAUUAACAACAAAAUCAAUAUUAAGCUGUAAAUUGACUAAUUAAUAAACAAGCUCUAGACUGCAGUGUGUUUAAUUUAUGCAGUGUUGCUUAUAAUAUCAUUUAAUUUUAUUUUAGAAUACAAAUGUAAGAAACUUAAAUAA